rnacentral:lncRNA from 1 species
UUUUUUUGUGUUUUUUUCCUUAUUUUUUUAGGUUAAAGUAUAGUUGAUUUACAAUGUUGUGCCAAUUUCUGCUGUACAGCAAAGCGACCCAGUCAUACAUAUAUAUAUAUAUAUAUACAUUCUUUUCUUAUAUUCUCUUCCAUCAUAGUCUGUCUCAAGAGAUUCGAUAUAGUUCCCUGUGCUGUACAGUAGGACCUCAUUGCCCAUCCAUUCUAAAUGCAGUUGUUUGCAUCUAAUAACCCCAAGCUCCCAGUCUCUCCCACUCCCUCCCCCUUGGCAGCCACAAAAGUGUUCUAAGGCUGUGAGUCUGCUUCUGUUUUGUCAAUAGGUUCAUUUGUGCCAUAUUUUAGAUUCCACAUCUAAGUGAUAUCAUAUGGUAUUUGUCUUUUUCUUUCUGACUUACUUCACUUAGUAUGAGAAUCUCAGGUUCCAUCCAUGUUGCUGCCAAUGGCAUUAUUUUGUUCGUUUUUAUAGCCGAGUAGUAGUCCAUUGUAUAUAUGUACCACUUCUUCUCCAUUUGCUGGGAUCUUAUAUGGAGCAGGGCAUGUGUUCUUAUUUCUCCUGGUAGUGGUUGUAUUAAGUUCAGAUGUGGUAGCAAAGGUGGCAUGUCCCAGAGCUUGGUUAGGCAUUUGUGAAGUGAUUUAUUCACUAAUAUUUCCUGCCCACCUGGGAGGAGCUGGGUCCUAGAAAAAAAGGAGAGGCCUUGGGGUGAGAAAGGCAGGCACGAAAACACAUGGUAUUACAGUGUCAUCAGUACGCCGUGUGAAGCGACCUGUGUAGGCACUCUGUUCCAGGGGGUGCUAAAGACCAGCUGUGCUCUAGUGUCAGGGUGACCAUCCUUUACCAGGGAUGUGGGCAGGCUGGUCCACUUGGGAACCUGAGUUGGAGGGCCCUCAGGGAGCCACUGGCGGAGUGGGAAGGACCCCACCCCAUAGUUCUUGUUCCCCACUCGCCUCUGCUUUUCUCCUUGUCUUCCUCCUGUCCUCAGCUUCCAGUAACACCCAGUCUAACCACUGGGCAAUCAAAGAGGGAAGGAGGUGGGAGUUCCCUGGUCCUAGCAUUGUCACUGCUGUGGUGCAGGUUUGAUCCUUGCCCCCAGAACUUCUGCAUGCCGCAGGUGGCAUUAAAAAAAAAAAAAAAAAGGAAUGAGGUGUUGACAGUUGGCUGUUUCUCAAGGAGGAAGAGUUGUAAUCAUGUUUAUUGUCAUUGCAGCAGGUCUGAUGAUGGCUCAUCAGCCUGAGAACCACCUGAGCUGUCGGAGCCCCAUAUCCUCCUGGCUUUCCUGAGACGUCCAGCUCAGCCUCUGCCUGGCCCUCCCUGCCUAGGCUCCCACACAGUGGUCCAGAGGCAUGCUCUGCCUCUCCCUGUGGAGGCUGGGGUCAGGAAGGCCACUGGAUCGCCCCUCUUCAGACUCAGCCAGGAGGAAGAGGGUUCCUCAUAGUCACUCUCCCUCCUCUCCUGAGCUCUGAUGGGUCCCUGGGGCCAAAGCGUCCCCGGGGGGCCAACUUGCCCCUGAGGCAGACUGGCCACGCAGGCUUUCAACUGGGCUGGACUGGUCCUCGCUCACUUUGAGCCACUGCUCACCUUUCCUGGAGACAUUUACCUUCUGCACCUCUAACACCCUGUUUGCCAGAAUGACCCUCAUUCCUCUCAGCUCAGUUGCCAUCAGGGCAACUUCGUCAUGACUUCUAGGCGUCAUGUUGCUGGAACUCGGUCUCUGCUCACAGUGCGGAAUAGAAACUCAGAGAUAGUUUUGGGUAAAGGAGAAAAACCAUAGCUUUAUUGCUUUGCCAGGCAAAGGAGGGUGACAGUAGGCUAAUGCCUUAAAGACUGUGCCCCCCCCCCACCCCUUAGGAGAGAAGGGAGGUGAUUUUAUAGUUUGGGGAGUGAAAAAUAAGGCUGCAGAUAAGGAUCAGGGUAGAGGCAAGCUUGCAUUGUUUUCAAAGCUGGUGUUCAGUGGUCUGGUGGUCUUCUUUCCAGAAUAAAGAAGGCUUCAUUAACAUCUUCCAUUUGUUGGGGGUUUUAGUUUUGCAGAAGAACUCAAAGAUACUGUUAUGUCUAUUCCUUGAGGAGGGACCAGGACCCUUCUCCAAAGCUGCACUGUUGUCUCUGGAUCGCUGCUCUCUGGUCUCUGCAUCCCCUCCCUUCCCUGAUUAGCAACCGUUUGAACCUGCCCUUUGGAACCCAGGGAAGGUCAUGGAGGCUGAAGUUUAUUCCCUAAAACAAGAAAUGGGGAACACAGAAAGGCUUGUGUGCCCAGGAGCCCACAGGGCCCUGCUUGGUUUCAGUAGCAGUCACUGGACCUCUGUCCUGAGCCAUGCUGGGGCACAGGGAAGCUCUGAGACCCUAAAACUAGAGACGCUGGGUGACCUUUUCUUUCCUGGGGUCUUGAGGCAGCUGCACCCAGGCAAUGCUCACCAGGACGCUCUGCUGCACACGUCUCUGGACUCCUGAGACCGAAACAGGAGCAAGGAGGAGGGUGCAGGGCUCCUUCUCUGGGACUUGGUGAUGUCUCCACUUUUAUCAGUUUCCCUGUGUCCCCGCCCAUCAGCUCAGAAAGCAAAGUAUUUUUAGUUGGGCUUGGAUUGGGGGAAGUGGUGGAGGGUGCAGGCAGAGGAGGGAAUCUUGCUCCGAGUCCCGAUGUUUUCUCCCAAAUCCUUUGCUUAAGUUUUGAGUCUAUUCCAUUCCCUAAUCAAAUAGCUAGCUUUUUGAAUCAAACGCCAGGAAGAGACACCCCCCACCAUUUUGCAGUCUCAUCUUUUCCCAGGCAAGAAACAGAGAAGCCUGGUGGCUGCUUGAAGGGGGGUGGGAGUGGGUAAGAGGGUGGUGUACAGGACCUGGGGAGGGGGAGGAGCCAUCACCAGGGAGGAACCCAUCACCGGAGAGGGCAAAAAUCCUAACCUGCCACGGUACACUGAGUCUUCCGUUUGCUCAAGGAUGUAUAAUGAGAUACUGCUGAAUUUUUUUUUUUUUUUUUUUUUUUUUUUUUUUUUUUUUUAGUUUUCUUUUAGCUUGUAGGCCACCCCACUGCCAAAGGCUGCCUCUUUCUUCCUUUGGCCCUCUUUCCCCCCCAGAGGCUAUGCCUGCGGAUCCUGCCAAGCUCCCAGCUCCCAGCAGAGCCUCACGGCGCUGAAGCAGAAAUGUGAAAGAUUGCUCACUGGGAAUUUCUUUUUUACUUGCAGUGAUUUUGAAGUUGAGGCGUACUUGGUUUCCAGCCAUACUGAGGGUGUGUUUUGGGUAUAGCUUUACUUUUUCUUCUUGGUCUCUGUUGUUUCUGGAGGAAAUCUGGGGGCACAGGCAUGGGUAGCCACCAUUGCCUCUGUAAAAGGAGACAGUGAAUAAUAAAAAUGGAAGGGAGAGGGAUCUCCUGGAAGGCGGAUGACAAAGGGGAUAAGAAACAGAAAGGACCGUUUGAGAUCUCACAAGACAGUAGGUUAUCAACACAAGUUUCCUUGCAUGGAAUCUGCCAGACAGAGCUGGGGUAAUUCUGCCUCUGCUUUCCACUGGCUGUGUGAGUCCUUGGACAAGUCAUUUCCCUUUCUAAUCCUCUGUAUUUUCCUCUAUAGUAUAAAAAAGAUAACGACGCCCUACUUCUGAGUGCCGUGAAGAGGAUGAAAUGGGAAGAGGCACGUAAAGUGCUUAGUACAUGGCUUGGGGAGCACCAAGCACUUCAUAACAUUCGCUAUUAUUACCAUUCCUCCCACUAUUACUAUUAGUCAUUCGCUAUCUCAAAGAAACCCAUCCUUGACAAGCAUAGGCUCUGAUAAGAAGUGGUUUAAGGAGACUCGUAUGUCAACAUUAAACAUGUUCUCUUAAUUCUCUUAGGAAGCAGAAGAAACAAGUUUCCAGUUUGAGUGUCUGAUCCUGAUUAAGUUCCUAGUCCAUUGCCGUGCAUCUAGUAAGUAGGUCCUGUGAACUGAAGUGUGGCACUUGGCAUCAGCCUCUACGUGGAUUAUAUCAUGAGCCCUUGCAACUGCCAACCCGAAGCAGCCCCUAAGCAGAGCUCAGGUGAACAUCAGGAGGGAGGCCCUCUGGGCUCGGGGAAAACUGGGAGAACAGGUCUAAAGCUAGUCAGAUAUUUUCAGAAGAUUUUAGGUGCACCUCCUCGGAUCUAGAAAAAGACUGAAAUCCUUCUUGGUGAUGUCUGCUCCUUGUGACUAGCAGUAACCUUCAGGAGACCAGCAGCAAACUUUCGUAAAAUGUGUGUGUGUGUGGCCACAGGCACCUCCCCUUCACCUUUAACAGAUACCCUGGUAUCCUUGACCCCUUGCCUCUUUGGCCAGGUUGCAGUUGACAAAACAAAGGAUGUCACAGUCAUCUGAGAAAGCAGUCAUCUCCAAGGGUGAGCCAUAAGCCCCGAGCCCUGAGGGCUGCGAAAACUCAGGAUACUGGCCUGGUAGCUGAGGUGCCUAUCAAAGGAAUGAUUUCAGCAAGCCCAGGCCUCUUUUGUUCCUGAUACGGGCCCUUUCUUGCCAAAACUCCUGUAUAGCCUAGCUCCCGCUUCACCUUCUCCGAGCGGUUUCUCAGGGCUACCCGAGAGGCUGUCUCGUAGGCUUAAGUCCUAAUUUUGCCCCAAAUAAAACUUCGCUUUCAGGUUGUGCAUUUUUGAAGUCAGCGGUGCUUGAUAGAUAUUUGUUCGAUGAAUGAUAGUCCAUAGUUUCUUUCAAUUAUAAUCCAGAAAUCAUGGGGCUCUGUUUUAAAUCCUUCUCUCUCACAUGCACAGAGAUGUGCACACACACCAUCCCCAUUUUAAAAAAUAAUUC